CCUACGGGUGGCUGCAGUGGGGAAUAUUGGACAAUGGGGGCAACCCUGAUCCAGCGACGCCGCGUGUGUGAAGAAGGCCUGCGGGUUGUAAAGCACUUUUAGUGGGGAGGAAGGUCUGCGACCUAACACGUCGUGGAAUUGACUUAACCCACAGAAAAAGCACCGGCUAACUCUGUGCCAGCAGCCGCGGUAAUACAGAGGGUGCAAGCGUGAAGCGGAAUUAGUGUGCGCGAAGCGGGCGGACGCGGGUGAAAGCCCCGGGCUCAACCUGGGAAUUGCAUUCGAGACUGCGAAGCUGGAGUGCGGAAGAGGGAAGUGGAAUUUCCGGUGUAGCGGUGAAAUGCGUAGAUAUCGGAAGGAACAUCAGUGGCGAAAGCGACUUCCUGGUCCAGCACUGACGCUCAGGCACGAAAGCGUGGGGAGCAAACAGGAUUAGAUACCCGAGUAGUC
rnacentral:rRNA from 1 species